AAUGGGCGCAAGCCUGAUCCAGCCAUGCCGCGUGAGUGAUGAAGGCCCUAGGGUCGUAAAGCUCUUUCGCCAGGGAUGAUAAUGACAGUACCUGGUAAAGAAACCCCGGCUAACUCCGUGCCAGCAGCCGCGGUAAUACGGAGGGGGCUAGCGUUGUUCGGAAUUACUGGGCGUAAAGCGCACGUAGGCGGAUCGGAAAGUUGGGGGUGAAAUCCCGGGGCUCAACCCCGGAACUGCCUCCGAAACUAUCGGUCUAGAGUUCGAGAGAGGUGAGUGGAAUUCCGAGUGUAGAGGUGAAAUUCGUAGAUAUUCGGAGGAACACCAGUGGCGAAGGCGGCUCACUGGCUCGAUACUGACGCUGAGGUGCGAAAGUGUGGGGAGCAAACAGGAUU
rnacentral:rRNA from 1 species